rnacentral:antisense_RNA from 2 species
UUCGAGGAAAUGCGAUUCUGUUCGUGCUAAAGAGACAGAAGGGCUUCCACGACGGCAACGUUGAGGGGGCUCU